rnacentral:rRNA from 1 species
AAUAUUGCACAAUGGAGGGAACUCUGAUGCAGCAACGCCGCGUGAGUGAAGAAGGUUUUCGGAUCGUAAAACUCUGUCAUUGGGGAAGAAUAAAUGACGGUACCCAAUGAGGAAGCCCCGGCUAACUACGUGCCAGCAGCCGCGGUAAUACGUAGGGGGCGAGCGUUGUCCGGAAUCACUGGGCGUAAAGCGCGCGUAGGCGGAUAAUUAAGUCAGAUGUGAAAACUGAGGGCUCAACCCUGAGACUGCAUCUGAAACUGGUCAUCUUGAGUGUAGAAGAGGAGAGUGGAAUUCCUAGUGUAGCGGUGAAAUGCGUAGAUAUUAGGAGGAACACCAGUGGCGAAGGCGACUCUCUGGUCUAUAACUGACGCUGAGGUGCGAAAGCGUGGGGAGCAAACA